rnacentral:rRNA from 1 species
AUGCAGAGAACUUUCCAGAGAUGGAUUGGUGCCUUCGGGAACUCUGACACAGGUGCUGCAUGGCUGCGUCAGCUCGUGUCGUGAGAUGUUGGGUUAAGUCCCGUAACGAGCGCAACCCUUGUCCUUAGUUACCAGCACGUUACUGGUGGGCACUCUAAGGAGACUGCCGGUGUUAAACCGGAGGAAGGUGGGGAUGACGUCAAGUCCUCAUGGCCUUUAUGACCAGGGCUACACACGUACUACAAUGGCCGAUACAAAGGGCAGCGACACUGCGAGGUGAAGCCAAUCCCGUAAAAUCGGUCUCAGUCCGGAUUGGAGUCUGCAACUCGACUCCAUGAAGUUGGAAUCGCUAGUAAUCGUGGAUCAGCAUGCCACGGUGAAUACGUUCCCGGGCCUU